CCCUCAGCAGCCUGUGUUACACUUCUACAUCUGUCCAAUGUCAAUACAGAAUAUAGACCACUGCAGUUCAUCACUCCAAAUGAUUUGACCUCUAUGAAAUAUUUAGAAGUCAUAGAAUAUAUGGUGCAAUGAUCUCUCCCCCCCCCAUGGAUUAUGAUACAAAUCAACCAAAAUGAACACAAUGCUGAACAGAGAAUUAUGAAUGCACAAAGCCUUUCAUUGACGCUCAACGCCAUUCAUACGCCCCCUAUAUCCUACCCCCCACGAGCCACUUCUCCCCUCCCCCACACGUUACCACCCAGCACGCGGAUCACUGCGGUCAUCGAGUGUGUGUGUGUGAGAGCUGUGUGACGCAGAGCCGAAAACGCGUCACUGAAUUGAGAAUGAAAAAAAUAAUAAGGGAAUGUCGGACUGAGCAGAAAUACACUGAAGGGAACAGAGAGAGAGGAGAGCAGAGCAGAGAGAUGAGAGCAGAGCAGAGAGCAGAGCAGAGCAGAGAGAUGAGAGCAGAGUAGAGUAGAGUAGAGAGAUGAGAGCAGAGUAGAGAGAUGAGAGCAGAGUAGAGUAGAGAGAUGAGAGUAGAGUAGAGUAGAGUAGAGAGAUGAGAGCAGAGUAGAGUAGAGAGAUGAGAGCAGAGAGCAGAGCAGAGAGAUGAGAGCAGAGCAGAGCAGAGAGAUGAGAGCAGAGUAGAGUAGAGUAGAGAGAUGAGAGCAGAGUAGAGAGAUGAGAGCAGAGUAGAGCAGAGAGAUGAGAGCAGAGCAGAUGAGAGCAGAGUAGAGUAGAGAGAUGAGAGUAGAGUAGAGAGAUGAGAGCAGAGUAGAGUAGAGAGAUGAGAGUAGAGUAGAGAGAUGAGAGCAGAGUAGAGUAGAGAGAUGAGAGCAGAGUAGAGUAGAGAGAUGAGAGUAGAGUAGAGAGAUGAGAGCAGAGUAGAGUAGAGAGAUGAGAGUAGAGUAGAGAGAUGAGAGCAGAGUAGAGUAGAGAGAUGAGAGCAGAGUAGAGUAGAGAGAUGAGAGCAGAGUAGAGUAGAGAGAUGAGAGCAGAGUAGAGCAGAGAGAUGAGAGCAGAGUAGAGUAGAGAGAUGAGAGCAGAGUAGAGCAGAGAGAUGAGAGCAGAGUAGAGCAGAGAGAUGAGAGCAGAGUAGAGCAGAGAGAUGAGAGCAGAGCAGAUGAGAGCAGAGUAGAGAGAUGAGAGCAGAGCAGAUGAGAGCAGAGUAGAGUAGAGAGAUGAGAGCAGAGUAGAGCAGAGAGAUGAGAGCAGAGAGAUGAGAGCAGAGUAGAGAGAUGAGAGCAGAGAGUUGAGCAGAGCAGAGAGUUGAGAGCAGAGCGAUGAGAGCAGAGUAGAGUAGAGUGAUGAGAGUAGAGUAGAGUAGAGUAUAGUAAUGAGGGUAGAGUAGAGAGUAGAGUAUAGUAAUGAGAGCAGAGUAGAGAGUAGAGUAUAGUAAUGAGAGUAGAGUAGAGAGAUGAGAGCAGAGUAGAGAGAUGAGAGCAGAGUAGAGUAGAGAGAUGAGAGCAGAGAUGAGAGCAGAGUAGAGAGAUGAGAGCAGAGUAGAGUAGAGUGAUGAGAGCAGAGUAGAGUAGAGAGAUGAGAGCAGAGAUGAGAGCAGAGUAGAGUAGAGUGAUGAGAGCAGAGUAGAGUGAUGAGAGCAGAGAGAGACAUUGUUUUCCUCAGUGAAAACAAUGUACUGAGCAAAUGUCAAAUUGGCUUUUGACCAAAUUACCGUACGACAGACCAUGUAUUCACAACCAUGAUUGACAAUCAAACCAAAACAAAGGCAAAGUCUUCCCAUGCCUUGUUGAUUUAAAAAAAUCUUUUGAAUACAAAUUGUUGGAAAGUGGUGUUUGGGGGAAAACGUAUGACAUUAUGAAAUCCACGUAGACAAAGAAGUGUGAGGUUAAAAUUGGGAAAUAAACACAUUUCAUUCCUCAGGGCCGGGGGGUGAGACAGGGAUGCAGCUUAAGCCCCACCCUCUUCAACAUAUAUAUCAACAAAUUGCCGAGGGCGCUAGAACAGUCUGCAGCACCCGGCCUCACCCUACUAGAAUCUGAAGUCAAAUGUCUACUGUUUGCUGAUGUCUACUGGUGCUUCUGUCACCAACCAAGGAGGGCCUACAGCAGCACCUAGAUCUUCUGCACAGAUUCUGACAGACCUGGGCCCUGACAGUAAAUCUCAGGAAGACAAAAAUGAUGGUGUUCCAAAAAAGGACCAGUCGCCAAGACAACAAAUACAAAUUCCGUUGCCCUAGAGCACACAAAAAAAAACUAUACAAACCUCGGUCGCCACAGGUAACUUCCACAAAGCUGUGACCAAUCUAAAAGACAAGGCAAGAAGGGCAUUCCAUGCCAUCAAAAGGAACAAAAUUCGACAUCCCAAUUAGGAUCUAGCUAAAAAUACUUGAAUCAGUCAUAGAGCCCAUUGCCCUUUAUGGUUGUGAGGUCUGGGGUCUGCGUACCAACCAAGAAUUCACAAUUAUGCAAAACUAUCCUUAAUGUAUUGUACAACAUAGAAAGACCAAAUAAUGCAUGUGAAGCAGAAUUAGGCCGAUACCCGCUAAUUAUCAAAAUCCAGAAAAGAGCCGUUAAAUUCUACAACCACCUAAAAGGAAGUGAUUCCCAAACCUUCCAUAACAAAGCCAUCACCUUCAGAGAGAUGAACCUGGAGAAGAGUCCCCUAAGCAAGCUGGUCCUGGGGCUCUGUUCACAAACACACCCUACAGAGCCCCAGGACAGCAGCACAAUUAGACCCAAUCAAAUCAUGAGAAAACAAAAAGAUAAUUACUUGACACAUUGGAAAGAAUUUACAAAAAAACUGAGCAAACUAGAAUGCUAUUUGAGCUGCAAUUCCUAACCUCCUGCCAAGUGUUUGACCAUAUUAGAGACACAUAUUUCCCUCAGAUUACACAGGCCGACAAAGAAUUAGAAAACAAACCCAAUUUUGAUAAAUUCCCAUAUCUACUGGGUGAAAUUCCACAGUGUGCCAUCACAGCAGCAAGAUGUGUGACCUGUUGCCACAAGAAAAGGGCAACCAGUGAAGAACAAACACCAUUGUGUAACGGCUUUCUUGUGGUGAAGUAGAGGCGGACCAAAACGCAGGGUGGUGAUGAUUCAUGUUUGUUUAAUAAAGGAAAACUAUACAUGAAUAAACUACAAAACAAUGAAAUGUGAAAACCCAAAACAGCCCUAUCUGGUGCAAAACCCAGAGACAGGAACAAUCACCCACAAACACACAGUGAAACCCAGGCUAUCUAAAUAUGGUUCCCAAUCAGAGACAAUGACUAACACCUGCCUCUGAUUGAGAACCAUAUCAGGCCAAACAUAGAAAUAGACAAACUAGACAUCCAACAUAGAAUGCCCACUCAGAUCACACCCUGACCAACCAAAACAUAGAAACAUACAAAGCAAACUAUGGUCAGGGUGUGACACAUUGUAAAUACAACCCAUAUUUAUGUUUAUUUAUUGUCCCUCGUGUACCCUUAACCAUUUGUACAUUGUUACAACACUGUAUAUAUAUAUAUAUAUAUAUAUAUAAAUAAUAUAAAUAAUAUGACAUUUCACAUGUCUUUAUUCUUUUGGAACUUCUGUGAGUGUAAUAUUUACUGUUCAUUUGCAUUGUUUAUCAUCUACCUCACUUGCUUAAGCGAUGUUAAUAUAUGUUUCACUAAAAUAAAGCCCCUUGAAUUGAAAACGGAGUGAGAGAGAAGUGGGAAGCAGCAGGGACGGAAGAGCGGGGAUGCAGUCAUCAUCAUCAUCAUCAUCAUCACAACGGAAACCUCACGAAGAGAGAGGAGAGGGGCUGGUGGGGGGUUAAGUUUCAAGUUUUAUUAGUAUUGGGUUGUUGUUUUUUAUAUAUCCCCUGUAGCCACCCCAUGCACAUCCCAGGUGUGUGUGUGUGUGUGUGUGUGUGUGUGUGGUGUGUUUUAACGCCCCAAUAAACACCUUGCAUUGAGAGAGGUGGUUUGAAGCAGGGACAAAUCGGUAGACAGUUCAGCACCAUGGAUAGCGACGAGUGUUGAAAACAAGACGCUGGUUUCACCAUAUACCGAGUGAACACACUGCUUUCCCAAAUAGAUACAGAGAUUACGUCACGCUAUGUAGCCUAUGUAGCCUAUUAGAAGGAGGUGAAAACCUUCAAAAAACAUGUUCCAUCCCUACCAGGUGUUGCGCAUUGGAUUUGAGAGUCAAAAACGACUUAUGCAGAUAUGUAACCAAAUAUGCCAAUACAGUUAAUACAAGUAUGUUGGGAUAAUGUCUCGAAUGACUUGGCUAUUAUAAUAAAUAAAUAAAUAAAUAAAUAAAUAAAACAGGGGUGAAUCUGGCCGCAUGUUCGUUUGUACCCGGGGCUCGGUUACCGAUCCUAAAUCGCGUCUAUAGGCUGCAUGCUGCCCAUGUGCGGGAGAAAGUGAGUCACGCUGCGGUAACUUUCAACCAUCGAGGAGCUGAGGCUCGCGCGGUGUCACGGAGAGCCUACGGGUUAACAGCAUGCAGGCAAAUGAGCCUAUAGCUUCGUGAUAAGAAUGUUCCCGAAUAUAAAGCCUAUAACUGCACCCCAAAUAAGCCAAUCAAUAAACCAGGUAGAAAUCAAGCCACAAGAAACGGUUUUGAAUUUACCUCAGUCACUCAACCUCCCGUCAUAACGCGUCACCACUGCAGCUUGACUGUUUCUCCAAGCAGGGAGAUUAGUUACAGGACAGAAGCUGUCUUCUUCUCAUCCACGUACCGUCUUCUGCUGAUGCUGUCGCAGACAGGACAGUGUUGUCACACUGUCCCUUCUCGAGGACAUGUCUUCUGCUCUUCUCCUGUCCACCCUGUUCUCCUUCUGUAAUGUGGUUAGUCUGAGCGGGUUCUUUGGUUGUGGUUUUUAUAGAGAAGCCGUAGUAUUAGUACGGGAUAAGGGGCACAGAGGGGAGGGGACAACUCAUUCACUAAAAAGCAUCACCUACACAUCUACGUGCUUGGCCCUACGUCAUAGACGGAAUAUUGUCCACGGAGGAGGUAUUUAUAUAGACAAGACAGAGGAACGCGAGGGAGAGCCUACGAAUCAAAUUCAAUGCAAGGGGCUUCAUUGGUAUGGGAAACACAUGUUAACAUUGCCAAAGCAAGAGAAGUAGAUAAUAAACAAAAGUAGAUUUUUUUUUUGUGACAGUAAAUAUUACACUCACAAAAGUUCCAAAAGUUUAAAGACAUUUCAAAUGUCAUAUUAUAUUAUGUAUAUAACGAUGUGCAAAUAGUACAAAAAAUAAAUUAAAUAAACAUAAAUAUGGGUUGUAUUUACAAUUGUGUUUGUUCUUCACUGGUUGCCCUUUUCUCGUGGCAACAGGUCACACAUUUUGCUGCUGUGAUGGCACACUGUGGAAUUUCACCCAGUAGAUAUGGGAGUUUAUCACAAUUGGAUUUGUUUUCUAAUUCUGGAUCUGUGUAAUCUGAGGGAAAUAUGUGUCUCUAAUAUGGUCAUACAUUGGGC
ensembl:lncRNA